rnacentral:lncRNA from 1 species
UGAUAUAAACCUUAUUAUUUAUAUUCAUCGGGUAAUUAAAGUUUAUCCAUAUAAGAAAGUGUAUGAAAGUAUGAGGUAAGAUAUGAUAAUCUAUAAAAUGGAGAGAGCUUUACUAAAAGGAAAGGAAAGUUUUAAAAGAAUAAGGAUAAAAAGAGGUGGGUGUUGUGUCGGUGAAACAAUCAAACACAUGGUGUGCAAUAAUAUGAAAUGGGGAUUUUAACAAAUAUUUGUUUGCAGAGUACGUUAACCAUAAAUGGAGACGCUGAGAGAAUUUAAGCGGUAAUGAACCUUGAAUUGAUCGUAGAAUAUGGUAAUUGAUUGCAUGCAUCUAACUCUCGGUGUCCUUCUUCUUCCUCACUUACGCCGUGUCCAGAACCAAUUCAUUGCCAAGAACAAAAGUGUCAGAGAGGAAGGUAACUUAGAUGACAGUUGUUGAGUGAACUUGUCUUGUUGCCCAUCACACAUUUAAGUGUAAUUAAAUCUAUAAUUGUACUCUGUAAAGAACAAAACGGGUUCAGAAAGAUCAAACACCAUUUUCAUUUUCAAAUUUUAUCACCAUUAUCACAAUAUUCAUCAGAACAAUAAAAAUUAUUUUAAGAAAAAAAGUUUAAAACAAUAUAUUUAAGAGUAUUUUACCGAUUUAUACUGACCUUUGAAUUCUUAGCAGGAAAUUAUUGAAUUCACUGUGAAGCAAAAAGAGACAGAACAUUGGGCUGGAGCCCCACUGUUCGAAUUGAAGCCCUGACAUGAACAUGAAACUGGUAUUCAGACAGAGUUGUUAGUACAGUACCUUGAAGUACUCUCAGGAAUUAUAGUCUAUCUUCAAUCAAGAAUAUCGAUCAAUGCCCUCAGCGACUAACAUUCUUCAAAUAAAAAUCAUCCAAUAUUUUAUUUUCAUUUUUUUCUUCUCUCUUAAAUUUAAUAUAAUUAUUUAUAGACGAAGAUGUCAAGAGAACUUUCUUACUUUUUAAUAUUUAUCUGAGAGUUGUGAAUAUUUAUUAAAUUUGUUUUUAUUUAAUGAAGUGUUAUCUCG